rnacentral:rRNA from 1 species
CACGUAGUUAGCCGUGGCUUUCUGGUUAGGUACCGUCAAGGUACCGGCAGUUACUCCGAUACUUGUUCUUCCCUAACAACAGAGUUUUACGAUCCGAAAACCUUCAUCACUCACGCGGCGUUGCUCCGUCAGACUUUCGUCCAUUGCGGAAGAUUCCCUACUGCUGCCUCCCGUAGGAGUCUGGGCCGUGUCUCAGUCCCAGUGUGGCCGAUCACCCUCUCAGGUCGGCUACGCAUCGUCGCCUUGGUGAGCCAUUACCUCACCAACUAGCUAAUGCGCCGCGGGCCCAUCUGUAAGUGAUAGCGUAAACCAUCUUUUAGCUUCCUAACAUGUGUUAGAAAGAAUUAUCCGGUAUUAGCUCACGUUUCCGCGAGUUAUCCCAGUCUUACAGGCAGGUUGCCCACGUGUUACUCACCCGUCCGCCGCUAAUAUCAGGGAGCAAGCUCCCAUCAAUUCGCUCGACUUGCAUGUAUUAGGCACGCCGCCAGCGUUCGUCCUGAGCCAGGA